AACGCAUCUUGCGCUCUCGGGAUAUGCCUGGGAGCAUGCCUCUUUGAGAAUCGGUUCUAACUUCACUCGUCUGCGUGCAGACGGAAAAUGGUAGUCUUGCUUCACCGCAAGUCCACUUAAAGACAUGGUGCAUCUGGAUGUUAUCGUUUUGCCUGAUAUUCGACUUUUCGAAGCGAUUUCGGACUUGCAAAAUGAACACGAGCUUGUUAUUCAACCCCGACUUAUUCGUAUGGGGCAACUCGCGUCAUCUAGCUGAUGUUUGGUAAUUCACCCUCGGGUGAUCAACUUUCUUACAUCUUGGCUAGGCCGCAACUGUUGCGUGAUACGGAGUCGCAGGGGACGAGCAAUGCGUGUUUCAUGUUUUGCAAUCUUGCGCCAUUUACUUGGCAAAAGAGAUUCCAAUCGUUCAGCGGGCUUGUUAAUCGAUUACAUUACGCAUCAAAGGCGAAAAACGCUCUAUACUCUUUGUAGUUGUGAGUUGCAUGUUUUUCAACCUCUUUUGAAUUUUGAUCUCAAAUGAAGCAAGAUUACCCGCCGAAUUUAA
rnacentral:misc_RNA from 1 species